rnacentral:rRNA from 1 species
UGAAGCCGGAAUUGCUAGUAAUCGCGGAUCAGAAUGCCGCGGUGAAUACGUUCCCGGGUCUUGUACACACCGCCCGUCACACCAUGGGAGCCGGGAAUGCCCGAAGUCGGUGACCUAACCUUUAAGGGGGGAGCCGCCGAAGGCAGGUCUGGUAACUGGGGUGAAGUCGUAACAAGGUAUC